GCCCCGGAGUCCCGCCGCCGCGGCCGGGCAGCCCCCGCGCCGGGCGGGGGUCGCCGCCGGCCCCCGCAGUCGUCCCCGUCCCCGCCUUCCCCCGCCCGGCGCUCUGCGGGAGCUGGGUGCUGCCUGCUGCUGCCGCUGCCGGCGGCGGUGGGAGGAAGAAGCUCCGAGCUCACUGAGCCUCGGGUAGGCGUAAACAGCGUGAAUGCACCGGGUCGCUUGCGUCUGUCCUGUGUUUUCUUCCCUUGUUCCCCCUUUCAUUGCGCACUGAGGUCGGUCCCCCCUUUCCUCCCCAUAUUUCCGGGCGGUUUUCCCCGUGGUGAGGGGUACCUACAGCUGUUAGGUCUGUGGGGAGAAUGUUUUCUCCAUAACCGAAAGAAGAAUCUGUUACAGACGCAGCACUUUUCCCCUUCUGGUCCCUAUCGCCUUCAGCAGAGAAUUCGGGGUCUGCGAGAGUUAUUAGUCAGGGAACAGGAAUGCAAAUGUUUGGAAGAGAUGCUAAAAAAAAAAAAAAAAAAACAAAAAGGAGGAUGCGCUCGCUUUUCGUAGCGACAAGAUGUUUCUCCCACCCAGCUGAAAAUGCAUGCCUCUCCUUCCUGCGCACGCAGCGCCGAACCAAACCGCCUUCUGGCGUGAUGCUGAAGGGCUGCACAGAUGCAGCCGAGGCUCCUUCUUGAGGAGCCUUUUCAGCCGUGCUCAGUUGCCCUGCGUGGCAGGGCUGAUCAAGGCUUCAAAAAUUUUGAAGCUAUACAUGCCAGGCUUUUUCUCUUGGACUAGCCAGUACGUUAUUGGAGAUGAAUUACAGUGAAAGCGUAUUUACAUUGUAGGCUGUCUUUCUUAGAAGGUAUGCUUUAGCUGAACCUGGAAUUAAUUUGAUGUAUUUUUUAGAUCACGAUUAAACUGUCGUGACUAAACUAAAAGUCAGAUCAAACUACUGCAAUGCCAUUUGCUUGCAGUCUGAAAAUUGCUUCUUGGUAUUUGUCUGUGCUCUAAGAAGUCAAUGUUCUAGUAGGUUUUUCUGCUGGGUUUAGGGAAAUAAAGGAACAUGUGGGCCAGAUACUAAUGAAGUGGGGAAUAUUUUGUUUCCAGAACUUCUUUUGUCCCACCUCUCACUCCUUGUAGGUGGAGUUCUGUGAGAAAAAUGUACAUUCUUUCGAGGCUGGCCUGUUUCACACCAUUAUUGGGCACCUCAGUACGUCUGCACUGGUCUGUGGGGUUUUUUUGGGGGUGUGGUGAUUCUUCAAGUGCGUUUUUUCAAAGUGACUCUUCAUCUGUUCUGAUCAAAGUAAGCGUUUGAGGUGCUAUAGAGAUACUUCCUUGCAACAUCUAAGAUUAGAUAACAAAAUAAUUACUAACUGUAACAGCAAAUUACUCUUGCCUUUCAGGUCCCCUCCUGAUGGAGUUAAAUGCUGUUCUGUAGUCUGAUUCUAAGUUAGUAUGGAAUGGAAGUUGUCAAUUUUGUUUACAUCUUGUGCAUGGAGUUACAUAUGCUAUAAACAAACCAUGUAAUAUAUGUGAAAACACCCUGAUUUCCUCAUAUUCCCUCCUCCCCCUUUUUUAAUCCUCGUUCAUGAUGGGAUGACCAGUUUGUCAGAUACUGUAAGCAGAACAUUACUUGGAUUUCUAAGCUUGGCAGAUAGGGGUUUUUUUGGUGGUUUUAUUGCAGCAGCAGUCAAAAAAGCUCUUUAUGACACCAUUAAGAAAUUUCAAUGUGGAAUCUAACUUGCUCUGGAACUAUAGUUUCUAAAAGUGUUAUUUCUUCAUUUUCUUCACAAAGUGUGGCAAGAAAUUUUCUUGGUAGGUUAUGGCAUAGAGGAGUUGUAGAUGACCUAAUUACAGAGUCGUUAUCAGAAUUGUUUCAUUGUGAGUGUUAACUAACUCAAAUUAUUAAUUUCUCAAAUGUAGUGAAUUUGUUCUGCAGUGUGGAUAGGUGUCUACAUGAAGAUUUUUUUUUAAAGCAAUGUCCUGUCUGCUGUCGUUCCCCGUCCUUCCCCCCCACCAAAAAAAAAGAGUGAAGCAGCAAUAUUCAAUUUCAGUUACAUUUGAUAUUAAUUAUUAAUUUUAAAAACUGUCAUGGUAUAAACUUAAGAAGUUAAGUUGAAGUUCUGUGUAGUAACUUGGGUGUUCUAUCACAGGAUGUUUUGAUUUCCAAAGAAAUUAAUAUGUUAACACAUAUUUAGGCUUAUGUGAAGAAGGGAAGCAAUUAUUUUUUCGUUUCAGAAAUAGCAAAAUAGUUUGCAAGAUGAAGAUGGGAACACAAAAGCUUUUAAUUACGGCAUGCCAUGCAUACUAAUAGCAAUGGAUACCUAACAUUUUCCCCAAUCUCUAGAGUAUAAAAUAUACUACAUCUGUAAUUACUUACUUGAUUUCUGGCCACAGAGUGCUGAUAACUUUUAAAUUGUGAUGUUGCCAUACUUCUAUAUGAAAGAUGUUCACAAAGCUAUUGUGCUUUUUUUUCACAGUGUUUCAGGGGGCACAUUGUCUCCGUUCCCAAAGUGACUUUAGUUCCCACUGACUAACAGUAAUGAUCUCUAGUGUUGAAUAAUACUAUGCGUUAAAGAAGAUAUUUCUUCACUGACUUUUAGGAACUUGAAAAAAUAAGCUUGCUCUUUAGCCAUGUUUUUUGUACUAACUUGUACAGUAUAUAUGUCAAAGACCUAGUAGGGCAGCUGGUAUAAACAUCCUAGUACCAUUACAUAAAAUUUGCACUACGUAAAGACCUAUUGUUGUGCCUCUGUUUCUUGACCCAUUGCGUCAAGGUUGGCCAUUAUUUUCUGUUAAGACUGAUCCAAAAAUGUGUUCACCAGCAGUGUGAUUCACUGCUUUGAAUGCUGCAAUUUUGUCUUGUAGUUAAAGUUUGUGCUAUUCUUUUUUCCUUUCAAAAGGUAAAUAAAUGUUGUGAGGCAGCGUUACAGCAGUGUUGGUGCUAGUGCCAAUUAUAGAAUAGAUUUUUUUUUCUCUCCUUAGUUUUGUUUACAAGCUUCCUAUGUCUCACUCUUCUACUGAUUCUGUUCUCCCAGAAAAGCGCUGUUUGAGGAAGAUGCACACACAUGUACAGAAGGGGUACUUUUUGACAAGGGUUUGUCUUGCUGUCCUGGUAUGACAGGUGUCUAACCACCUCAGGUUUCGUGUGGUCACUCCAGCAGUGGCUUUCCUAGUAGAAAAGAAAGGUAUUGUUCUUGAAACUGUUGUGGAAGUACAGCUGGGUGAUGCUGCAGUACUCUUGAAGUGGGUGACUAGCAUACUGCUGAUCUUGGUCUAUCAUGUUAAGUUUCAAGUGAGGGGUCUUGUCUUCAUAUAAGGUUAGCUGCAGAUAGUCAAGGUGAUCAAUCUGUAGGCUACCCAGUUAGCGUGCAUUAAUCUUAUUCUGCUUAUACAGAGGUGAUAUAGGGAAUUUGGUGAUGCUGUUACAGUUGUGGAUCUCAUAGAUAAGGUGAUGUUUUGCAGGAGCACUAGUCUCGAGAUGAAAAGGUGAGAGGAUGGUUAUUAACAAAGUGGGAGGGAAAUAGCAUACCAUGCUGGGUACGUUUUUGUUGCAGUGGUGAUCUGCAACCACAGAAGAUUCCCCUUUUGAGGGGAUCUGCCUUCAGACAGUAGGAAGAUUAAAAGUGCCCUACCGUCUCUUAAUUGUUUUUUUUUCCUGUCUUAAGCUUUUGGAAUACCUGUUUUGCCUAGGUCAGCUACACGUGUAAGUAAAGCUAUAGCCUGUAGGAGAUAUUCCAUCUGCCUUUGUAUUCCUCAGUGUAAAAAUUACUAUGCCGUAAUGUCAUAGACCUGAUGGUUCCGGAAGGUGAAGGCUUCUAAAGUAUUCAGAAUUGGACUGUGUCUUAGUAAUCCACUACUAUGCAAUAAUUCAUAAUUUUUUUGUAUAGCAUUGCUGUAAUUGGGGACCUAGGUUUUUUUUUGAAGAAUAAACUUUACAGUACCUAAGUGACUGUGAUUUGAUCUGUCUUUUGUGCAGUCAUUUACAGUUGUUGUAAGUAGGUAUUAUGAGAACCAAGCCCUCUACUGGUGGCUUUGUUCUAUUUCUUGUUCAGUACUCACUGAGGGUACCAGUUGGUUCCCUUGACAGGCUAGAAGGUAGUAAUGUCAGAGGAAGACCUUUACACCACCGCCACCACCCCCAGCCAAAAUUAAAAAAACAAAGAAACAAAAACCCCAAACAAACAAAAAAAACCAAACAAAAAACCCAAAGGCAUUUAAAAAUGGAAGCAUGCUGUGCUUCGUCCCACACAGAAAACCAUGCACCUGUCCUCUGAAUUUGGAGGCAUAAAUAAGGAAGAAGAUACUACUGAUAGUCUUGAUGCAGAAUUGAGUGUUUUUGUUUGUUUUAACUUAGUUUGGAUGACUUUUUUUUCUUAAACUAUCUUUCUAGCUUUGAUUUGUCUUUUGAACAUUGCAGUUUUCUCUUAUGUGAUAAAUUGUUUAACUUAAGCACAGUAAAAAGGCUGUGUAUGGCACUGCUUUUUAACAAAGAAUGUAUUAUAUCUUGAAAAUGUUAAACGACUGCUGCACCUCCAGCACUUGUUUAUAUAUUUUUUUCAGUUCUUGGUUUGUGUCUGCCUAGCCUCUUAAGCAUCUUUAGCUGAGCUCUGUUUUCUUAAGAGGCUAAAAGAUGAUUCUAGAUGAUUGUAGGCUAUCAAGUUAGCUGACCAUGUUAUGUAAGGUCUAUCUUUUAAAAACUGCAUCCUUCCCUAUCCCUCUGCCAGAAGGCUGAGACCCUCUUGCAGAAAUUCUUUAUUGUACUACCUUGCUGAAUCUUGCUUUCAAUCAGUAGGUCUCUUAGGCCUUGAGACACUGCCAUUUAAUUCAGAUAGCUUGUUUUCCUUCUUGCUCUGUUUUAUAUCUGUAAGCAGAACUUGAAUUUUCUUACUGAACAUCAUUGUACUAAAAUAAAACCAGAGAGAAGUGCUUUUAACCUUUGUCUCUGUGCUCUUGGACAUCCCAGAAGCCUCUAAUCUGUAACUGUUCAUGUUCAUUGCUUUUGAAAAACAGUGAGCUCAAUGCACCUGUCCUCAGAUGAGGCUUUACUAGUGUCAUGCUAAGUGGUGGUUUUAUGCUUUUUUUAAAUCUGUGUGGAGAAUCCUCACUUCGCUUAUCCUGAUACCCCACUUAAUUACCACUGUCUUCAUCAAGGGAAAAAAAAAUUAUGUACUGCUCUUUUUGCAGCAGUAAAUCGUAUUAGUCCUCCAGGGUUUGUAUUUUAUCCAGAACCAUGUGUGUUUUGUAAUUUUACAUUGCUUGAUGCUUGAAUCUCUUUCAUCUAAUCUUUGUGGUAAGUCCAAAAUACCUAUAGAAUACUGAAGCCCUUGAACUCUCCUCAGCGUCUGCUAAUAAUGUUCUUGCUACUCUGUUUUUGUUCUGUUCCAGAGAAGCUGGAAAUAACUGAGCACUGUUAACAGGUUAUAGUUCAGCUGCUGCUGAACCGGGUAAACUUUUGUGCUCUCUUUUGUGAUGAUGUUUGUAUUUUUGAGUUGGAUCUGAGAACUGAUCUGGCUUCCAGAAAGCAAACACCCCCUGCAACUGCAAAAUCUUGCACUGUAUGUUGUGAGUCAGUUCCCUGAUCCAGUACACCAGUGGUCUCUGCAGUCUUUUGACUGUACGCUUGUACCAGUUUUGAGCAUGCACCCCUAAUAUGUGUAUAUUUACUUAUAAACAUGUACUACUGUACGAGAAAUAACCACUUCCAGAACUCUUGUUGUACUUCAUUAACAUUACCAAAAAAAUACUUUCUCGCCACGCUUCUAAUGGACUGUCUUGUCUGCCUGUUGGAGACCGCUGCAAUGCACCAUGAACUGCUUGAGUGCUCAUAUCAGAAGAAAAGGUAUUGUAAUUUGCUAGAAGACUACAACUAGGGAAGGAAGGAGUGCCUGUUUGGAGGAGCUUGGUUUUUUUAAUAAACUAAUCUCAGCUGAUGUAUUAUCGGUAUCAAUGACUAGUUCAAGACCAGAACCUGAAAGAAUAGCAGUAACUUCUCUCUAGCUGGGCAGCUUUUCUUUCAGCAUAAGCUAUUUCAGAACUGGUUAAAGAGGAAGGUACUGUGGAAUUAAUCCUGAUCUUCAGAUGAACUUUCGCCCUUUUGUUACUGUAUUUGAUUAGACCUUAGGUGAUUUUCAGUCUUGAAGAACAUUCUUGCAGAGGAGGAGGUUGGUAAGAUCAAUUAUCUUGGAGCAAUUCAAAUCAGCGUACUACAACAUCUUCUGUUGCAUCCUUCAGAUUUUUUCCUAAAGCCCAAUAUAAUAUUCAUACAUAAGCAACCACAAACCCAUUUUCCCCCCAACCCCCAGCUUCUGGGUAUACCUAACAAUCACAAUAUGGUCAUUUGUUCACUACUAAGAAUUUUUUAAAUAGUUGAUUUGCCUACUAAAGUACUGAAAGGCAAACAGUUCUUGCAGCUUGAGCACAUGGAACAUCUUUGAUUUAUUCCUACGCUUAAGCAUGCUGAUUAGGCCUGAUAAACUUACUGAAAUUUCUUUUUAUGUAUAAAAACUAGGAUACAUUAUCUGUGUCUGAUAAACUUAACUGACCUAAUGAUGAGGUGAUUAAAAAAAAGUAAAACAUUCCUAAAAUUAUUUUUAAUAAGGAAGCUUAUCUCUUGCAUCUUCAUCUUCAUUUUGCUAUGUAGCUUCCCUUCUUCAAAUGAACUGCUAUUUCAGAUUUUUUUUUUAAUUCAAAGAAAAUAGCAACACCUGUUUCACCUGUAAAGAAACUGAUGCUAGGUUAAAGUUUCAACUUACUCUGAUGGUUUACAUGGUAGAGAGACUGCUAAGACUAAUCCGAGUCAUGCUGCUCUUGAACUGUAAGCAGUUUGGCUUGAAUGUAGUGCUGUCCCAGUGCAUGUAAGUGCUAUGCUGCAUGAAUGUACCAGCACUGCUCAGUGCUGGCUCAGGGGCUGUGCCUGCAGUUGUGUCCACCACUUCAUAAGCACAACAUUAAAAAUUCAGGCAGUACUUAAUUGAUUUUUAAGAUUUUUGCAGUGGGCUGUUCGGCCUAUUUUAAGACAAUAGGUUAAAUGUAAUUUUUCAUGAACUUGUUAUACUUAGAACUAGACUUGUAAUUAAAGUAGGAAGUUUUAUUAAGGUCACUGCUGAAUAGUGUGGUACACUUGCUCCCCAUUCCUCACCUCUUGAAUGGAAAGGGCAUCAUUCUGUUUUGCAGGAGCAAAUGAAAACUGAAAGGUGUUAAGAGCAAGAAUGCUUCAAAUAAUCCUUUUUUGGGGGGUAGAGUAUAGAAGACAACUUGGGAAUUUGCUCUGUUGAAAACAAGUUCUUGAGCAAGACUGAAAUGGAUUUUCUUUUGUACUUGUAUAUAGAAUGUAUUUCUUGGGCUAUAAUUGAAUAUGCAGAACUGCUAUGGAAGAAGCUUGCUAGUAGGAUUUAAUUAAGCUCUUAAGCAAUCAAAUACUGCAUCUGCUUCAUUCUGGAGAACAAAGAAAUUCUAUGAAAGACUUAAAAGGUUUCUAAUCAUUAAAUACAUAUCAGGAUUAUGUUUUUCAGAUAAUCAAGUGAAAGCUACCUGUGUUCAGAGCCUGGAUCUGUUUUCCUGAGAAGUGUGAUUUCUCUUUUCAUUCCGAUGGAUAUCAAGAGGAAUAUGAUGGUCAAUGCACGUUAAUGAAUAAUUACUUUGACAACCAUUCACAGUAUGAGGAUUCUUCUGGAAAGGAUCAAAUACAUUGGUGCAGUAGGGAAACUAGUAGUUUGGUUCUAGAGAGGGUGGGAAAGGAGUGAUCCAUCAAAGCCAGAACUGAGGUGUACUCUUGAGGUGUGAAGAGUAUUUCUUCCUCUUAAGCUGGAUGGAUUGGUUGUCCCUACAUUUGUGCAGGAAUUCAUGCCCCCUUUUUUGUGAAUAGAUGUUAAUGGUGCAAUUUCAUGUUAAACAGCAGAAGUGGAGAGACUGGCAAAGGAAUUUUGGUUUUUGUUUUUGUGGUUUUUCUUUUUGUUUUUAUGGUGGCAGACCAUGUUGAGUAUUCCUCAACAGGUUUGACAGGAAGGCCUGACUUUGCCUGAAAUGUUUCUGGGAGCGCAGAACAUAAUCAUCGUGGGUCUACCAUGGGGUAGCCGCACUGCGUAGCUGCUGAGCAGAGGUCGUUUCUUGUUUGUCUCUGAUUCUCAUGAUCAACUUGCCAAGAGUAUACAUAUCAUCCUGUGCUUAUGGAGGGAAUCAAGAUGUGAAGAUAUAGAGACUUUUCUUUAUCUUGAUGCUUUUGCAAAAUGCUGUUGUUCCUUAAGUAAAGUUUUUGUAUGGAGGAAAAAAUACUCUUCAUAUUCCAGAUACGAUACUGCUCUUGCACACCUGCAGAUGUCAACAAGACUUUGCUGCCAUGUUACAUGCGAAAACUGCUGGAAAGGAUUCCAUCUUCUCAUACCAUACUAGCUUUAGGGUUUCAAAUCUUAGCCUUUGUGUGGCUAUGUAGACUUCAUGGCUUUCCUCUGGAACUUUUCUUCUAUAAAUAUGGCUAGUCCUUCUCUGUUACGUAUGCAGAGAUUUGAACCUGAACUUCAAUGCUCAUGUUACAACAACUAGGUCAAAUGGUGUUGACACUGUCACUGUUUACAGAGGCACUGAUUCAUAACCUACCUUGAGAGAGACAUUAUUUUGAUGUGACGCUUAGGAAAGCAUUGAAAUUUUUUUGCUUAUAAAGGGCUGAAAACUCAAAGUUUCUAGUGAUGCAGGAGAGAAAGCAGGCAGAGGAAGGGAUGAGAUCACCCUUGGAAUAUUACACAAUAUUCUAAUGUCAUGUCACUUAAGUAAUCCAGGCAAGUUAGUGGCUGUGGAAUGCUGCUAUGACAAUCAAGUUUAUCAAAAUCCGUCAAGGACCAGAUUCUGUCUAUUUUUACCAAUUAAAAUACUCUUUUAAGUUUGGGUAGUUUUGCUGUUGCUGCAUUUCUGAAUUGAUUCCAGACCUUUUCCUUGAAGCAAAAGUGUACUAGAUUGCAAUGUGUAUCCAUCCUGUAUUAGGAGGCAAGGAUCAUAAUCACUUCCUUAAAGAGAAAAGUAUAUAGCCUUUGUGUGUUUAGUAAGUUUAGAGAUUAGUAAAAAAAAAAAUUGUAUGCAUGUAGGUCCUUAAGUGGUGGCGAGCUUUAUAAACACAGCUCCUAUCUAUCCUUUGUAGGUAUACCACCUUGCAAGAACAAUGAUUUACUCCUAAGCUGAAAUCAAUUGCCUGAGUGUCUGUGGAAGCUACUCUUUGUGACUAGCAAUCUUUAAGUGAAAGGCAUUGAGUUCCAGUUGCGUUAAUUUCCAGUUCCUAGGUCUAAGAAGAUUCUUCUGCAUCAUUUGAUGGUCUAAAUAGCAAAUUACCACCUUAAGAAGUAGCUGUUUCAGUCAGGUUUGGAUAUUUAUAUUUACUGUAUACUUCUGGGAUUUUAAUGGGAGGGAGGCUUAACAUAGGAGACUUAGGUAAUUGUGGCAUAAAUAAAAGCAGUGAGGAUAUCUAACAAAGCUUUAAGGUUAGCACUUCUGAAACAGAUCAGUAUAAAGAAGACAAUAGCCGUUUGUCAACAAAAGUAUUGCUAGCAUUACUAGUUUACAAAGUAGACUGUCCAUGCCAGUACCGACUGUUGUUUGUGUUAUGUAGAGUAAGUAUUUUAAAAGUAAUUACCUACAUUACUUAUUCCCUUUUAGAGCGGUUUAUCUUCCUUACAAAAAACAUUUGAAAACUGUCAGACCUGGUAGAGGUGUUUUUCAAACUUAAGAUUGAAAACUCACUGUGAUUUGUUGUUAGUGUACAGAGCAAAGUUAACAACAGUAUCUCAGCCAUUUUGAACAGUGGUUGGUUGAAAAAAUGGUUACAGUGGUUACAAACAAUAGUCGGCAUCACCAAAUCAAGUCAAAGACUGGUGAGAACUUAUUUUUCUUCUCCAUAUUUACAUACUGAAAUACUUUGUAUUCUCAGUCAGACAAUCAAGUAUGAGACUUCCCUGUGUUUAACACCUUAUCAAGAACUGUCUUGCGUCCCUGGACAACAAUAUGCUUAAAACCAUUCCAUGGAGAUUUAGGCGUUUUGGAAAGGAAACUCAGUGCUCUUGGUUUCUUUCACCACUGGUCAGAUAAAAGCAUUAAAACAUAAAAACAGCUUAUAAAAGACCCUUAGGCACAAACUGGGAAUUUUAUGACUGUAAACAUUAGCAUGCUGCAAAAGCUUGUUUAAAGAACAGAUGUGUUUGAUGGAGUUCAGUGUCCUAUAGUCAAUAGCUGGCUUAUUCUUUAGUAGUGUAGUAUCACACUUGCAUAUAUUUGUACCAGUACAGACUCUGAAAAAGUUGUCAGCAUUGCAUCAGAGUUAAACACCUAUGGCUGCAGGAUUAUUCUAUGCAUACAAUAUAUCUAGCAGUUUUUAAACUUUUUAUUCAGGUCAUUAGAAAUGCACAGGUGAGGUGUGGGGAAGAAUCCAAAAGUUCAUUCCAGAAGGGAGAAUGCAAGGCUUGCUCAUCCAAGAACAGAUCUGUAGCCUUUAAAAAUCAUGGGAAGUGUUAGCAUCUUCUGGGGGAGAACAUUUAGUAAUUCUGCUGCUGUUUGAUAACUUUAUUUAAUCUGUCAUUUUUAUUUUAUCUACAGCCUGGCUAAAGUAUGUUUGAAUUAGAAAAGCAAAAACAGAUGUUCAUUAACUUUUCUUCCAUGCAUGUUUUGAGCUGUGCUAACUCUGAAUGUCUUCUGUACUGUCAGGUUUUGAACUUGAGUAGCCAUAAUUUAACUGUGUGCAGCUAAAGACUUGGGCUAUUCAGGAGGUAUAAUCUCUACAAGUAAUGAUUCCUCAACUCUUGAGACAGCUGGCAUGCCAGCUGGAUCAAUACAUUUUGCUGGUUGCUUCUUUCCUUAAAAAGGAAUUUUAUUAAAAAUGGCAAUGCCUAUAAAGUUAACCUUUGGGAGAUGGAAACAAGAAAUUUUCAGGUAAGGUGUAGUGAACAGCUGGGCAAUAAUGCCAGAAGAUGGGUGCAAGUCUCUUGCCCAUGUGAAGAACGGUUCCACUGUCUGUGUUGAGGAGGUGGCAGUCACCAACCUGCUCCUUCACCUGGAUGUUCACAAGUCCAUGGGGUCGGAUGGGAUCCACCUGAGGAUACUGAAGGAGCUGUCAGAGGAGCUUGCCAAGCCACUGUCCACCAUUUGUCAGCAGUCCUGGUCAACUGGGGAGGUCCUGGAUGACUGGAAACUAGCAAAUGUGACACCUCUCUACAAGAAGGGUCAGAAGGAGGAUCCGGGGAACUACAGGCCUGGCAGCCUAACCUCGGUGCUGGGAAAGGUCAUGGAGCAGAUCCUCUUGAAUGCCAUUAUGCGGCACAUGCGGGACAGCCAGGGGAUUGGGCUCAGCCAGCAUGGGUUUAUGAAAGGGAGGUCCUGCCUCACUAACCUGGUCUCCUUCUAUGAUAAGGCUACCUGC